AGGAAAAUAUGCAGCAAAUAAGGCUAUGGUGGUGCCUUGUCAUCCUGCAGAAUUUUCCCAUGCAGUCUGAAGAAGACAGGAUGCGGGAACGGAAGAGGCGGCGGCAGCAAAAGAGACUACAGGAUGGGGAAGACAUCCCACCAAAGAGGUUGCACCAAGGCACGUCUGCAUAAAUCCCUGCAGAAUGAAAAUCUUUUCAGAGCCAAGAGCACUGCAGUCUCAGGAGGGCAGUAGAUGUCCUUUACGUAUAUUUGUGAUGAUGUGUGUGAAUAAACUAAACUAAACAUGGAAAAAGACUUCUUCAUGAUCUACUCUAACACAUUCAUCACUAUUGUUUUAUUCUGCUGUCUAUGUGAAGGUAUAGUGCCCAGCAGUUUUGUUGAAAUGUGAAUCACAUGAAUCAGUGUGUUCUGAGAUUUAUUUUGUGUACCAGAAUCAAUGUUUUCUGCAGGUUGGUGAUGAGUUCACUUACAAGGACAUACAGUAGGUGUACCUCAGAGGGAAUAUCCCCUUUUUUCCUAUCCUUUAUUUUGCCUCUGAAUGUUCUUUUAUGCAGAUUGAAAAUCAUCACUAACAAUCAUCAAUGUGUUUAUCCCUGUGUAAAUGUCUCCAAGAGUGCCUGACAAUGCAGUAAGAAAUAAGAAAUCUCAAUGAAAACAAGAUGCUGAUCCUGUCUUAAUGACUGUGGGGUUCCACUAUGACUCAGAGGUCCUGUUAACCCUGUUUGAGUUUACAGAGGUGAGUAUUUACACAAAAACAUGGAUCUUAUCACAAGUUGGUUUCCUGCUCUGUCUAUUGUAAACCCACAAAAUAUAACUAAAAAAUGUGUUGUAGUUUCUGCAGUGUGAGCAAAUAUGUAUUUUAUCCAAUAAACAUGAAAGGUGCUCUGCCAAAUA